GAUGAAACAUGGGAGGGAUUAAAAGACUAACUCUGUUCCUAAAAGUUGGUGUCCAGAACGAUCUCCUGCAUACUUUCUUUAAAUACAGAUAUCUGAGAACCAUCCCUACCUUAUCCAGCUUCAGGUGAUUCAAAUGCAGUGACUCAAGGACCACAUUUUGAAAAAUAUUGGUCUAAUCAACAAACUCCCAGUACAGAGUAACCACCGUGGCAACGUUGACAUUGCCGUUUAUUGCAGCCAGCGAAGGGGAGGGUGGAGCCCUUUUUCGGACAAUGAAAAUGCUUCACAGAGUUUGGUGAGAACAACACGAGCUCACUUCCCAAAAGAUCUCAAAGUUCAACAAGAUUAUAAGUCCUGAAAAACA